UAUCUAUCUAUCUAUCUAUCUAUCUAUCUGUCUAUCUAUCAUCUAUCUAUCCAUCCAUCCAUCCAUCUAUCAAUCCAUCCAUCUAUAAUCUGUCUAUGCAACUGGGUAUACCUGAGAGGAUAAAAAGAACUGGAGCAGACCAGAUUGGAAAAAGGAAUACUACUGGAUCUAUGUAUGCUACCAAAAGCCUUCCAGUGCUGGAGAGAACUUAUUUUCAGAGCUGAAUUAGAAUUAUCUAUAGCAUCCUACAAAUUGCAUUAGAACACGGGGCUAUUACUCCAGAGUUCAGUGUGCUAUACAAAAAAUACAGUAAAAGUCCUUGGAUUCCUACAAAAAGGGAAGGAACGUUUAUAUUGCUUUAAUGUGAGGAGACUAAACCUAUAAAAAUGAAGCACUUGCAGAACAUGCAGAGCUGGAUAGUUAAUGGAAAAGCUUGGGGUAGAGGGACGGGAUGAGAAAUAAAAUCUGAAUUCCUG